rnacentral:tRNA from 1 species
GGAUUUGUAGCUCAAUUGGAUAGAGCACCUCACUACGGAUGAGGAGGUUUGGGGUUCGAAUCCCUACAAGUCCACAA